GCGGUCCACGUGGGUGACGCGCGGGGCCACGCCCCCACCUGGGGACAGACGCGGAAGCGGCGGCGCCCCUAGGGGAAGAUGGCGCCCUCAGGGCUGAAGGCCGUCGUGGGGGAAAAAAUUCUGACCGGAGUCAUUCGGAGCGUCAAAAAGGAUGGGGAGUGGAAGGUGCUCAUCAUGGACCACCCGAGCAUGCACAUCUUAUCAUCCUGCUGCAAGAUGUCAGACAUCAUAGAUGAGGGCAUCACCCUUGUUGAAGACAUCAACAAACGCCGAGAGCCCAUCCCCAGCCUGGAGGCCAUUUAUUUGCUGAGCCCCACGGAGAAGUCGGUGCACGCCCUAAUCGCAGACUUCCAAAGGACCCCAACCUUCAUCUACAAAGCAGCACAUAUCUUCUUCACCGACACCUGUCCGGAGCCCCUCAUCAAUGAACUGGGUCGCUCCCGUGUGGCAAAGGUGGUGAAGACGCUGAAAGAGAUCCACCUUGCCUUCCUCCCCUACGAAGCCCAGGUGUUCUCCCUGGAUGCCCCCCACAGCACCUACAACCUCUACUCUCCCUACCGGGCCGAGGAGCGGACACGGCAGCUGGAGGCGCUGGCCCAGCAGAUCGCCACACUGUGUACCACACUGCAGGAGUACCCGGCCAUCCGCUACCGAAAGGGCCCAGAGGACAUGGCGCAGCUGGCCCAUGCCGUCCUGGCCAAGCUGAACGCCUUCAAGGCACACACUCCCAGUCUGGGCGAGGGCCCUGAAAAAACCCGCUCACAGCUACUAAUCAUGGACCGGGCUCAUGAUCUUGUGUCCCCACUGCUGCAUGAGCUAACGUUCCAGGCCAUGGCCUAUGACCUGCUGGACAUUGAGCAGGACACGUACAAGUAUGAAACCACAGGACUGACCGAGGCCCGUGAGAAGACCGUGCUGCUGGACGAGGAUGACGACCUGUGGCUGGAGCUGCGGCACAUGCACAUCGCGGAUGUGUCCAAGAGGGUCCCAGAGCUUCUGAAGACAUUCUGUGAGAGCAAGAGGCUGUCCACGGACAAGGCUAACAUCAAAGACCUGUCCCACAUACUGAAAAAGAUGCCGCAGUACCAGAAGGAGCUGAGCAAGUACUCCACGCACCUGAAUUUAGCCAACGACUGCAUGAAGUGCUUUAAGGGCUCUGUGGAGAAACUGUGCCGUGUGGAGCAGGAUUUGGCCAUGGGCUCCGAUGCAGAGGGGGAGAAGAUCAAGGACGCCAUGAAGCUGAUCGUGCCGGUGCUGCUGGAUGCAGCAGUGCCGGCCUACGACAAGAUCCGGGUCCUGUUGCUCUACAUCGUUCUGCGGAAUGGCGUGAGCGAGGAAAACCUGGUCAAGCUGAUCCAGCACGCCAAUGUGCAGGCACACAGCGGCACCAUCCUGAACCUGGAGCGGCUGGGCGGCACUGUCAGCAACCCUGUGAUGAGCCCCCAGCCCCAUCUAUCACCCACAUCCUUCUCCCCACCUCCCCCACGGGUCCCGCUGCGCCCUGCUGUAGGGCUCCGGGACCCCACGCCGGCUGCAGCGGAGGGAGCGCUCGGAGCCCACCUACCAGCUGUCUCGCUGGACCCCUGUCAUCAAGGACGUGAUGGAGGAUGCUGUGGAGGACCGGCUGGACACAGACCUGUGGCCCUUCGUAUCCGCCCCCGCCCCUACACCCAGCUCCCAGGCUGCUGUCAGCGCCCGCUUUGGCCAUUGGCACAAGAAUAAAGCAGCUGUGGAGACACGUGCAGGAUCCCGGCUCAUCAUCUACAUCGUGGGUGGCGUGGCCAUGUCAGAGAUGAGGGCUGCAUAUGAGGUGACCAGGGCCACAGAUGGCAAGUGGGAGGUGCUCAUUGGGUCCUCGCACGUCCUCACUCCGACACGCUUCCUGGAUGACCUCAAGAUGCUGGACCAGAAGCUGGACGACUUUCCUCUACCCUGAGCCCCCCCAGCUCCGCCAGAGAAAUAAACCGCUGGCGGCUCUCUCCAG